CGGAAAUAAGUCUAGCAAAAACAUUUACAUGAAUGAAUUUGCUAAAAUCUGGAAUUCCUUUGAUUUUGUAAGCUAAAUCGACGGAGAAAAAAGAAGUGCACCACAUUGUUUAUCACUAAAUUGCAACCCAACAUGAAGAUUGCAAUAUUAAACCUUUGCACUAUAAGGUAAACGUCCAUAGUUACAACAUGACAGUAAGGUAGGAAGAGGACAUUUUCCCUUUACAGAGCUAUACAGUGCGUCAGCUGCAAACAGAAACACCCUUGCUGACACACCCCCUAACCCCCCCUCCCCCCAGUGAGAAAGAAAAGCUCAAGCCAAGAAAAGCUGCACUGUAUGUUAUCCCAUAAGGAGACAGAUUGCGAGGAUGUGAUUCACCAAGCUUCUCCUAUAUACAUGUGUCUGGCCGAGAAAUGUAUUAUGUCCGUCUGUACACUUGAUCUUCGACAAAAGGCCCAGAAAUGCAUUAUGUACAUGUAUAUACAUCUCGGGGUUCUCGCAGGAAUCAUUUGUUAUAUAAGCAACCUAUUCCCUCGACUGUUGCAUAAGCUCAAACCACUGUCUUAACAAAUAAAAUAUAAUUACAUGUGUCUGGCCGAGAAAUGUAUUAUGUCCGAUCUGUACACUUGAUCUUCGACAAAAAGCCGAGAAAUGUAUUAUGUACAUGUAUAUACAUCUCGGGGUUCUCGCAGGAAUCAUUUGUUAUAUAAGCAACCUAUUCCCUCGACUGUUGCAUAAGCUCAAACCACUG
rnacentral:lncRNA from 1 species